rnacentral:rRNA from 1 species
CAUGCAGGUGGUUGUUAAGUCAGAUGUGAAAGCCCGGGGCUCAACCUCGGAAUUGCAUUUGAAACUGGCAAACUAGAGUACUGUAGAGGGGGUAGAAUUUCAGGUGUAGCGGUGAAAUGCGUAGAGAUCUGAAGGAAUACCGGUGGCGAAGGCGGCCCCCUGGACAGAUACUGACACUCAGAUGCGAAAGCGUGGGGAGCAAACAGGAUUAGAUACCCUGGUAG